rnacentral:lncRNA from 1 species
GUGAAACUGAGCAAUGCUGUACCAACACCUCAGUUACAUUUGAUUUUGAAUUAAUUUUGGACCUUUAGGGGUCGGUGCCUUUUACUGUUGCCAUAUCUCUGUACGGUUACGCAAUCCCAUAUGGCAUUGCAACCCUCCGUUUAAGAAGCUGUGAUUUAGGGUACCAGCCCUUAAGGCAGCCAAGACUUCUGUACUCACCAGAUAAUGUUCACUCCCUUCCAGCAUCUUUGACACCUUGUCUUCUCGGUGCACACCGAGGUAUAGGCUAGUGUGCCAGAGGAAAAAAUAUGUUCCUGUUCUCUAGCUCCUCCUCCAGCAAGAGUUGGUGACUGAAUUAACCAUGUGCAGCCUUAAAAACUGAGAGACAGAUGUCAUAAAGGGGGAAGAGCAGCUGACCAAGUGACUCCUCAAAGUGGCUCUACCUUAGUCCCCUCAAUGGCCUACUACUCAGAAACACAGUUCUAGUCCACGAAGAGUUGAUUUUAAAACUCAGGGGACUAAUUCAAACUGAACAGACUCAGAGACACCAAUGUCUAAACAACCAGCCGGCCAAUUCACUCGUUUACAGGUAUUCAUGCCAGCUAUCCAGGGUCAAAAUGCACAGCCCAUGGACAAGGAUUUCAUAAGCACCAAGUGUCCACUACUUAACAAACUAAAACCACGCAGCUGCUGACUACACCAGGCUGCUGCUCUCAGAAGCCUUAGGAAGGUGGAACAGGUAUUUCUAUAUUAUUUUAGUUGGACUCUGGUAUG